UAAAAAACUUGGAUUACUGAAAAAUUAGAAGAUUGGGAAGAUGGAAGAAAAUUUUUUAGGAAGUUAUUAGCUUUAGCAUUAUUACCGAGUACUGACAUCAUACCAACAUUUAAUUGGUUAGUGGUGAUCCAUGCACCGUUUUAUCUUAUUUUCAAAGAUUUUCUGAAUUACUUCGUUGAUUAUUGGUUGAUGAUAAUUAAACCUGUUGGAUUUUGUGUAUUCAAAUUAAAAAAUCGUACAAAUAACUUUACCGAAGCAUAUCACCGAAGACUAAACAAAUUCUUUGGCUUACAUCCAUCACUGUGGCAAUUUACAGCAAGUCUAAGAGAUUUUCAUGAUAUGACUAAAAUUGAAAUAGAAUCGCUACAAUUACUAACGCUCCCCAUACGCAGAGCUCCACGGUCGAAUAAUUUAAUUAGAGCUGAAGUCUUAGAGAGAGCAUGGGAUAUGUAUGAAUCGAAUGUACUCGAUAUUGCUCAUUUUAUUGAAUUCGCUGCUCAUUGGUCACCAGUUUUAAGAAAUAGAAAUGUUAUGAUUAAUAUUGAAGACAUCAAUAAUUUUAUCAAUAUUCCUAUCUACAGAUACAUUGCAGUGCCAGGUAAUAAUUACAUUGUUUUCAAUAAUGAUGCAGCAAAUCAGUUGGACUACAUAAUAUAUGAACAACCGAAUGAAUAAUUCAUUAACAAUGUAACGAAUCAAAUAAUCU